GUCUCUUUGAAAGCCUUGGAUCAUCCUGGCUCCCAACAGGCUCCAGUGAUACAGGGCCUUGUAAGCUAUGAUGGAAAGUUUGGAUUUUAUUCUGGUUGCAGUGGAAUAGUAUUGUAGGUCUUGAAGACAAUGAAUAAACUUGAUUUAAUUUCAGCUUUCAAAUUGUUACUCUGGCUGCUAUGUGCAAAAUAAGGAACUUGGAAGAAUGGAAAUUAAAUAGACUAUUUUAUUGGCCAAGGAAAGAGGUGACAGCGGCUGGACCAGGAUAGCAGCAAUGGAGACAAUGGUAAAAGCUUGGAGAUAACAUAUGACCCAAUGGUACUGGAUGUAAUCACUUAGGAAGAAGGUAUGAUGAAAAAUGCACUCCUGGGUCCCACCCUGGCACUGUGUUAUUUGGAGAUCUUGUAUGAGAGGAAGAGUCAAAAAUGGAAAUGGAGUGAAUAAGAACGCCAUGUAAGAAUAGGACCUCUCAAGUCUGGAGAAAGUUUUCAGAAAGGAGUGGCCACCUGUGUCAAGUGCUGUGAAGAUGCCAGUGAGCAUCUAUAACACAGAGAGACCUCAGCAAGAGCUGAUACUGGACUAGGUUGCUAUGCUGAAAGAAGUACUUUCCUUGGACUGACACUGUCAUGGACCUUACUAAUUUUUAAAGUCGUAUGAAAAAAGUCGCCAUUCUCCAAAGUGGAUUAAAACAUACACAGGUCUCUGCCCUCCAAACAGUGGGGUUUCACGGAAUUCCAUGUGAUUGCCAGCAAAGCUGGCAAGCAAUCCAAUGUGGGAUAUUCUUCUGUAUGCUGUGAGUAUAUGUUGCUUUUAUUGGUUGAUUAAUAAAGCUGUUUUGGCCUAUGGCAGGGCAGAAUAUAUCAAGGAAGGAAAUACAAACAGAGAUGUGGAGAGAAAGAAGGUGGAGUCAGGCAAAUGCCAAGUAGCCACCCGAGGAGUGAGAUGCUAGAGUAUUACUGUUUUUGACUGUUAAUGAGCCAACUGCAGAGAGACAUUUGAUUGUGGGAGCUGCUAAGCUAAACCAACGCAUAUAUUUUAAAGCAGGUGGCUACUGACAACCUGGAGAUGGGUCUCUAAUGUGUCUCCUAUGGGAUCACCAACCUGAAAAGAAUGUCUCAGGGAAAGAAUUGCUACUUCUGGAACUAAAAUAGUUGUAGUAUUUCACUCAUGUUUCCAGACAGCUGGAAAACAAGGAAAAGCAUGACCUUUGUGACUGGAUUUUAAAAAAAAAGGUCCAAACCAGAGAGACCAUUGCCACCAACUAAAGAAAUGAAAAGGAAUAUACCGGAAUACAAAUGACUUCAUACCAACACUCAGACAAUUCAGACAGAAUGGACACAUUUUCAGAAAGGCAAAAACUAUAGAAUCUGACUCAAGAGGAAGAAGACUAAACUUAACCACAUGGCUUAAGGCUCUUCUGGUGACUUCCCAGUCCAUCCUCCCCACCCUGGACACUUUGGAACUUGAAGCAGAAAUUCUAGCCUUGCAGGUAUACUUGCUAUCUUCCCUGUUGUUCCACGAUUUUGUUG
rnacentral:lncRNA from 1 species